GAGGUUAAUAACCUCAGUGAUUGACGUUACUCGCAGAAGAAGCACCGGCUAACUCCGUGCCAGCAGCCGCGGUAAUACGGAGGGUGCAAGCGUUAAUCGGAAUUACUGGGCGUAAAGCGCACGCAGGCGGUCUGUCAAGUCGGAUGUGAAAUCCCCGGGCUCAACCUGGGAACUGCAUUCGAAACUGGCAGGCUAGAGUCUUGUAGAGGGGGGUAGAAUUC
rnacentral:rRNA from 1 species